UAUUGUAGUUUUCAACUCCCUAUAUAAAGAAAAGUUUGUCUAUUAGGUUAAGGGAGGACAUAUUUUUUCAAGAUUGAAUAGGGUAAAAACCCUAAAAAUUCUUUGCUCUCAUAUUUCCUAACCGCCGCCACCCUCAAAGGAUAUUUUUAUCGAACAAGGCAGCAACUAGCUUGCCCUUCUUCUUGUCCCUUUACCCUCGUUUUCCAGCGAUCAAGCAACGACCAGCUACAACCAUCCAAACACUGCCUCACGUUACCAGACCCAACCCCAAAACCCCAUCCCCAUUUCCCUUUGUUCGCUGCAACUAGCAGCUCCGGUGAGGAGUUUCAAGGCUCCGAUGAGCCGGAGCAAACAUAAGCCUGCCAGUCCUUUUCCCUUCCCCUCUUCCAUUUUCGAUUUUUUGUUGUUUUUGCAGGUAUUCGGCAAGGUCCCGAGCUCCGGCGAAAUCACAACCCACAACGAACCCGUCACCAAAAAAGGGCACAAUCAGAGAAGCCAACGAGCAUUAGCUCCGGCGAAAUUCCAACGAGCUUGAAGCUCAGGCGAGACUUUGACAACUAGUCGCCAACAAGCUUCACCGAUAGGUAUUUUCUGUCAAAAUUUUAUCAUCUAUUGUGUGUUGUUUGUUUUGGUUAUGCUUGUUCUGCAUUUAGAUUGAUUUUUUAUGAUUUAUUUUUAUUUAAUAUUUUUUGGAUGUUGUAUUUGUAUUUUUCUCCAAUUCUUAGAUCUGUUUUUUGUAUUUGGCUAUUAUUUUUAUUUGUUUUGGGUUGUCUUUCAUGAUUUUAUUAUUAUUGUUAUCACUAUUUAUUGUUGUUAUUAUGGGUGUAUUUAUAUUUAUAUUAUUAUUAUUGUUAUGUUGGUUUACAUACUAUAUGUUAUUUAGUCACAUUUAGAAUGAGCGUAUUUUAGUUUAAUUAUAUUUUGUUAUUUAGUUAUAAUGGUUGUUGCAUUCAUUUUGUCGGUUACUUUACAUUAAUUUGGCACUAGUUAGGAUGAUUUCUCUUUCUUUAGUUAUUUUUCAGGUUGAAUUUUAUUGUAUUUGUUUUAUUUUGUAGAUGUUAAAAGUUUUUUUUUUUUUCCAGUAAGGUAUUCUGCUUCAUGAGCACAUGUGUUUUAUUUAUUAUUAUUAUUAUUGCUACUUUGUUGAUAUUUGUCUUUCUUUAUUGUCGUUGUUGCCCACUUCCUUCGUAGAGUUUACUUUUUAUUAUUUUGUUCUAAUUUAAUCAAUAUUACAUACAUGUUAAGUGGCCAAUGAGAAAAUCUCUCCGUCGAUUUUAGAAGCCUUCCCAUUUUAAAAGACGGAAAUUUAGUUUAGAUUUAUAUAAGAAAUUAAAAUGUUACCAAAAAAGGAAAGAGGUCAUUCUUUUUGAAACAGACUAAAAGGAAAGGAGGUCAUUAUUUUUAAAUGGAGGGAGUACUUUAUAUUGUGUUUUUGGUAAGUUUUUAUGUGAUUUCGUGUUUGAAAGAUGCAUGUUAAAAUUGGCCAAUGAGAAAAUCUCUCCGUCGAUUUUAGAAGCCUUCCCAUUUUAAAAGACGGAAAUUUAGUUUAGAUUUAUAUAAGUUUAUGUUAAAAUUGGCCGAUGAAGAAAUUACCGUCGAUUUCUAAGGCCUCUCAUGUUAAUAAGACGGAUGUUUAUUUUUAAGUUAUUGUUUAAUUCAUUUAUUUUUAAUCAUAUUUAUUUAGUACUAACACUUUUACUAAGUGUCUUUACAGGUACCCCGAAGUCGCUUCUCAUCGAAGCCAUUCAAAUAAAGUUCGAAUGUUAUAUUCAUUAUUAUGUAUAUUGUUGACGAUAGACAAAUAUUAGAUCGUUUAUCAUAUUACUUGUUUACUUUAUUACUUGUGUAUAUUGCAUAUUUGUUAUAUUUGUAUAAUAUUUUUACAUCCUCUUCAAUUUGAAAAAAUGAAUUCAGUCGGGAC
rnacentral:lncRNA from 1 species